UACGUAGGGUGCAAGCGUUGUCCGGAAUUAUUGGGCGUAAAGAGCUCGUAGGCGGUCUGUCGCGUCGGCUGUGAAAACCCGGGGCUCAACCCCGGGCCUGCAGUCGAUACGGGCAGACUAGAGUGCGGUAGGGGAGACUGGAAUUCCUGUUGUAGCGGUGAAAUGCGCAGAUAUCAGGAGGAACACCGGUGGCGAAGGCGGGUCUCUGGGCCGUAACUGACGCUGAGGAGCGAAAGCGUGGGGAGCGAACAGG
rnacentral:rRNA from 1 species